rnacentral:rRNA from 1 species
CUACGUGCAAGCGGUAGCGGAGCGAUCCGUAAGCCUGCGAAGCGGUACCUGUGAGGGGCCGUGGAGGUAUCGGAAGUGCGAAUGAUGACAUGAGUAGCGAUAAAAAGUGUGAGAGACACUUUCGCCGAAAGUCCAAGGGUUCCUGCGCAAUGCUAAUCAGCGCAGGGUUAGUCGGCCCCUAAGGUGAGGCAGAAAUGCGUAGCCGAUGGGAAUCACGUUAAUAUUCGUGAACCAGAUGGUAGUGACGGAUCGCGCAGGUUCGUAUCCCCUUAUUGGAUUGGGGGUGCGAUGAGCCGGUUCCUGGAAAUAGCUCCAUCGACAUUGACCGUACCCUAAACCGACACAGGUGGACUGGUAGAGUAUACCAAGGCGCUUGAGAGAACUAUACUGAAGGAACUCGGCAAAUUGCAUGCGUAACUUCGGGAUAAGCAUGACUUCUAUCGGGGCAACCCUUUAGGAGUGGCACAAAAGAGGGGGUGGCGACUGUUUACUAAAAACACAGGGCUCUGCGAAGAUGCAAAUCGACGUAUAGGGUCUGACGCCUGCCCAGUGCCGGAAGGUUAAAAGGAGAGGUGCAAGCUUUGAAUUGAAGCCCCGGUAAACGGCGGCCGUAACAAUAACGGUCCUAAGGUAGCGAAAUUCCUUGUCGGGUAAGUUCCGACCUGCACGAAUGGCGUAACGACUUCCCCACUGUCUCCAGUAUAGACUCAGCGAAAUUGAAUUCCCCGUGAAGAUGCGGGGUUCCUGCGGUCAGACGGAAAGACCCCAUGCACCUUUACUAUAGCUUUACGCUGGCAUCUGUGUCGGCAUGUGCAGGAUAGGUGGUAGGCUUUGAAGCAAGGACGCUAGUUCGUGUGGAGCCAAAAGAUGAGAUACCACCCUUAUCGUCAUAGAUGUCUAACCGCGGCAUAACAGUGUCCGGGACAGCGUAUGGUGGGUAGUUUGACUGGGGCGGUCGCCUCCCAAAGAGUAACGGAGGCGCGCGAUGGUGGGCUCAGAACGGCCGGAAAUCGUUCGACGAGUGCAAUGGCAUAAGCCUGCCUGACUGCGAGACCGACAGGUCGAGCAGAGACGAAAGUCGGUCAUAGUGAUCCGGUGGUCCCGCGUGGAAGGGCCAUCGCUCAACGAAUAAAAGGUACGCUGGGGAUAACAGGCUGAUGAUGCCCAAGAGUCCAUAUCGACGGCAUCGUUUGGCACCUCGAUGUCGGCUCAUCACAUCCUGGGGCUGGAGCAGGUCCCAAGGGUAUGGCUGUUCGCCAUUUAAAGUGGUACGUGAGCUGGGUUUAGAACGUCGUGAGACAGUUCGGUCCCUAUCUGCCGUGGGUGUAGGAAUAUUGAGAAGAGCUGACCCUAGUACGAGAGGACCGGGUUGGACGAAUCUCUGGUGGACCUGUUGUGGCGCCAACCGCAUUGCAGGGUAGCUAAAUUCGGACGGGAUAACUGCUGAAAGCAUCUAAGCAGGAAGCCUCCUUCAAAACUAGUAUUCCCUUGAGAGCCGUGGAAGACCACCACGUCGAUAGGCCGGGUGUGGAAGCGCAGCAAUGUGUGAAGCUUACCGGUACUAAUAGCUCG